AGAGCAGGAGAGGUGGUCGCCCUAACGCACUUUGGUCCGAGUAAUCAGUGAAUGGGUUUCAGCUGAAAACGGUCACUGAUAAUUAAUCGCCCCGAGGUGUAAGAAUCGGUUAGGGAGGAAAGUCCGAGCUUUAAAGGGCAAGGCGCUCCAUAAUAUGGAGUGGGGGUGACCCCAAGGAAAGUGCCACAGAAAAAAUACCGCCCUGCGGAGGAGCAAAUCUAAAUUCCCAGGGUAAGGGUGAAAAGGUGAGGUAAGAGCUCACCAGUUGAGAUGGUGACAUCCCAAGAUUGGAAAACCCCGCCUUGAGCAAGGUCGAAUAGGUUCCGCCUAGAGAAGGGCCCCUUCGAAUCCCCGUCCGCCUAAGGUGGAUCGAGGAGGCGGAAUGGGUAGCGACCGCACGAGUCUGGUGGUAACACCAGACCUUAGAUGAAUGACCACAUAGACAGAACUCGGCUUAUAUCCUGCUCUGACA
rnacentral:RNase_P_RNA from 2 species